ACGUUGAAACACCGGAUCCCAUACGAUCAUCGAAGUUAAGCAACGUCCAACCUUGUCAGCACCUAGAUGAGUGAACGUUUAGGAAUACCUGGUGCUGUU